rnacentral:rRNA from 1 species
AGAAUGCUUUAGCUUGCUAAAGCUAGUAAAGUGGCGCACGGGUGAGUAACGCGUGGGUAAUCUACCCCUGAAUUUGGGAUAAUAUUGUGAAAGUGAUGUUAAUAUUGGAUAAUAUCAUAAUAAUUGCGGUUAUUAUGAUUAAAGGUGGUUUUUAUAUAUAAGUUAUUGUUUGGGGAUGAGCCCGCGUACCAUUAGCUUGUUGGUAGGGUAAUGGCCUACCAAGGCAACGAUGGUUAGCUGGUCUGAGAGGAUGAUCAGCCACACUGGAACUGACACACGGUUUAGACUCCUACGGGAGGCAGUAGUGAGGAAUUUUGCGCAAUGGGGGAAACCCUGAUGCAGCAACGCCGCGUGAGUGAUGAAGGCUUUUGGGUCGUAAAGCUCUGUCAAGUGGGAAGAACUUACUUUAGGCCAAUACCCUAAAGUACUGACGGUACCACUGAAGGAAGCACCGGCUAACUCCGUGCCAGUAGUUGUGGUAAUACGGGGGGCGCAAGCGUUAUUCGGAAUUAUUGGGUGUAAAGGGCGCGCAGUCGGCCUGGUAAGUCAGAUGUGAAAGCCCGGGGCUUAACCCUGGAAGUGCAUUUGAUACUGCUAGGCUUGAGUAUGGGAGAGGGAAGUGGAAUUCCUGGUGUAGAGGUGAAAUUUGUAGAUAUUAGGAGGAAUAUUGGUGGUGAAGGUGACUUCCUGGACCAAUACUGACGCUGAGGCGCGAAGGUGUGGGGAGCAAACAGGAUUAGAUAUUUUGGUAGUUUAUGUAGUAAAUGGUGAUUAUUAGGUGUAGCGGGCAUUGACCCCUGCUGUGCCGAAGUUAAUGCAUUAAGUGAUCCGCUUGGGGAGUACGGCCGUAAGGCUAAAACUCAAAGGAAUUGACGGGGGCCCGCACAAGCUGUGGAGCAUGUGGUUUAAUUCGACGCAAUGCGAAGAACCUUACCUGGACUUGACAUCCCGGGAAUCCUGUGGAAACACAGGAGUACCCUUCGGGGAACCCGGUGACAGGUGCUGCAUGGCUGUCGUCAGCUCGUGUCGUGAGAUGUUGGGUUAAGUCUCGCAACGAGCGCAACCCCUAUCUUUAGUUACCAUUAUUUAGUUGGGGACUCUAAAGACACUGCCCCGGUUAACGGGGAGGAAGGUGGGGAUGACGUCAAGUCCUCAUGGCCUUUAUGUCCAGGGCUACACACGUGCUACAAUGGUAUGUACAAAGAGUAGCGAUGCCGCGAGGUUUAGUUAAUUUUAUAAAGUAUAUUUUAGUUUGGAUUGGAGUCUGUAAUUCGACUCCAUGAAGUUGGAAUUGUUAGUAAUCGUGGAUCAGCAUGCCACGGUGAAUAUGUUCCCGGGCCUUGUACAUACCGCCCGUCACACCAUGAGAGUUGGUUGUACCAGAAGUUGUUGUACCAACCCCUUUGGGGGAGGUAGGCACCUAAGGUAUGGCUGAUGAUUGGGGUGAAGUCGAAAUAAGGUA